CCGGUGGCCAUGAAUUGGGAUAGGCCUAAUAUUAAUAAUAACAUCAAGUUAGUUUGAAAUACUGCAUGCAUGACAGAGCCAGACAUUUAGAAGGCCAACACACAUUUUUGAAAGCCACACAUUGUUUACGGCGAAAAAAGAGAUUACAAAUAUUAUUUUGGAACCACGCAAGCCUUGAUGCCUGGAGCAAUUUGUGGCACAUGUGUACACAUUAUUACGCCGCAAACGGUUGCGUAGUAGCCUAAUGUGUCAACCGUUUGUGGCGUUAUAAUGUGUGUAACAGAACAGCCUAACACGUGCAUCAUGCCGAGUGAGGCUCAAUGGCCUGUUGCUCAUCUCCUACAGUUUUGAGUGUCCAAGGAAGGCAGAAUUCUCCGACAGGGACUGAUCAUAAAAGAAACCAAACACAAUAUCAUUGUCAAACGCAUUGUCCAGGAGGAGAGAGGAACUUCUCUGACUUCUGCAGGGUUCAUCAGACCUACAGCGUUGCCACACAGACCCUCCUGACGUCUUUCCCCCAACCCCCAUCUGUCCCGCGGAACAACUCAACCGCAGGUUCGCCAACGUUGACAGAUUGCUCCUCAGGUUCUCCAUCUGUGGACAUUCAGCCAGAGCCGGAGACGAUCUCAGUGAAGGAGAAUAUGGAACCAGUUAUGUCCGCUGGUCAGGGCGCUGACCAAAUCAGAGAGGUCGGGGAUGAGGUCACCAAUAUCCUUCAGAGAACAGAGGUGAAAGUUCAAUGGGGCUCCGGCUCCUAUGUCCUCUUGGGUUUGGUCACAUUCGUGACCAGCUUCGCUGUUAUGUACCUUUACCAGCACCCCCAUCUGGACCCCCGCCAGCACUGACAUGAAAUCAAAUAAACCUUUCUCUUGAUUGGAUCCUUUGAUGAUGGCUUACAUGGCAGUUUACGAGCCAUGUUUGGCUUGUGUUUUCACUACCUGGACACUGAUGUCACAAAGGGAAGAAUCAAUGUUGGUAGUGUUGGUUGUAAAAGAGCUUAGUAAAUAAAUAGCCCCACUAUGUAGAUGCCAUUGCCACACACACUCUUUUUUUGUGUGCGUCAACAGUGAAGUCAACUUGCUUUUUGUGUAUUUAUGACAUAAUUUUCAAAUGACUGAGUAAUGAACACUUUUUGUGAUAAUUUGUACAAAUGAACACGGU
ensembl:lncRNA